rnacentral:lncRNA from 1 species
AAAAUUUUAAAAUAAAAAAGAGCUAUUUUGGUCAUUUUUCUUAUUAAAGGUUAUUUUUGUGACAAAAACUUAAAAAUGUCGAUUUGAAAGAAGGGGGAUUUGCCAAAUAUGACUCAAAACAUGACUUUGAUUGCAAAAUUAUACCCAAACUUGAAUCAAAUACAAAAAUAACCUAAAAGCCUUGUGAAAUACAGCCAGCCCCUUGUGACCAAACAAAAAACAGAACUCAUUUUAACGAAUAUAGCUCUACUAAGUCUUCCGAGUCUUCCGAGAUUCUGUU